UACGUAGGCAGCAAGCGUUGUUCGGAAUUACUGGGCGUAAAGAGUGUGUAGGCGGUGUUCUAAGUUUGUCGUGAAAUCUCCCGGCUUAACUGGGGGGGUGCGGCGAAAACUGGAAUGCUAGAGGAUGGGAGAGGUAAGCGGAAUUCCUGGUGUAGCGGUGAAAUGCGUAGAUAUCAGGAGGAACACCUGUGGUGUAGACAGCUUACUGGACCAUUUCUGACGCUGAGACACGAAAGCGUGGGUAGCAAACAGG
rnacentral:rRNA from 1 species